GUGCCAGCAGCCGCGGUAAUACGUAGGGGGCAAAGCGUUGUCCGGGAAAUUAUUGGGGCGUAAAGCGCGCGCAGGCGGUCAUUUAAGUCUGGUGUUUAAUCCCGGGGCUCAACCCCGGAUCGCACUGGAAACUGGAUGACUUGAGUGCAGAAGAGGAGAGUGGAAUUCCACGUGUAGCGGUGAAAUGCGUAGAGAUGUGGAGGAACACCAGUGGCGAAGGCGACUCUCUGGGCUGUAAUCUGACGCUGAGGCGCGAAAGCGUGGGGGAGCAAACAGGAUUAGAUACCCUGGUAGUCC
rnacentral:rRNA from 1 species